rnacentral:tRNA from 1 species
GUUCUUAUAGUGUAGUAUAGCACAUUAGAUUUUCAAUUUUUUAGGACAUACUAGUAUGUUGAGAAUA